rnacentral:rRNA from 1 species
UAACAAGGUUUCCGUAGGUGAACCUGCGGAAGGAUCAUUGUCGAAUCCUGCAUUGCACCACAUGCGAACAUAUUUCCAAACAUAGGACAUGAUCAAGUUUAGAGAAUUUCUAUUGCUUGAUUAGUUCCUAAGGGUACUCUGGCAUUUUUGCCUUGGUGCUUAACAAAAACCCGGCGCAGGAAGCGCCAAGGAUUACUCAUAACAAGUGUUCUACCUGUCCUCUCUCGUUUUCGGGACCUAGUGGAUAGUGUAUUGCAUCUUUUUAAACAGAAAUGACUCUUGGCAACGGAUAUCUAGGCUCUCGCAUCGAUGAAGAACGUAGCGAAAUGCGAUACUUGGUGUGAAUUGCAGAAUCCCGUGAACCAUCGAGUCUUUGAACGCAAGUUGCGCCUGAAGCCUUUAGGCUAAGGGCACGUCUGCUUGGGCGUCACAAAUCGCAUCGCCCCUUCCACCACAUUGGUGGAUGGGGUGGAAUCUGACCUCCUGUGCCUAUGGCGUAGUUGGUCAAAAUAUGAGUCCAGAAUGUAGGAUCUCACGGCAAGUGGUGGUUGGACAACAACUUAAGUCCUGUCGUGACCCGAACCUCUAGUGAUUGUCAAGACCCUAAGGCACAAUCUAUCAUAAUCCAUUGAAAAUUUGUGCUACGACUGCGACCCCAGGUCAGGCGGGAUUACCCGCUGAAUUUAAGCAUA